rnacentral:rRNA from 1 species
AUUGAACGCUGGCGGCAUGCCUUACACAUGCAAGUCGAACGGUAACAGGUUAAGCUGCCGAGUGGCGAACGGGUGAGUAAUGUAUCGGAACGUGCCCAGUCGUGGGGGAUAACUGCUCGAAAGAGCAGCUAAUACCGCAUACGACCUGAGGGUGAAAGCGGUGGAUCGCAAGACCUCGCGCGAUUGGAGCGGCCGAUAUCAGAUUAGGUAGUUGGUGAGGUAAAGGCUCACCAAGCCGACGAUCUGUAGCUGGUCUGAGAGGACGACCAGCCACACUGGGACUGAGACACGGCCCAGACUCCUACGGGAGGCAGCAGUGGGGAAUUUUGGACAAUGGGCGCAAGCCUGAUCCAGCCAUGCCGCGUGCGGGAAGAAGGCCUUCGGGUUGUAAACCGCUUUUGUCAGGGAAGAAAAGGUUCUGGCUAAUACCUGGGACUCAUGACGGUACCUGAAGAAUAAGCACCGGCUAACUACGUG